rnacentral:lncRNA from 1 species
AUUGAUCUUGUUCUCAAAUGUGGGCUACAAUAUUCUAAACUAACUCAAACACUCUCUCUCUCUCUCGGAAAAAUGAAAAAGGUAAAAAAGGUCUUAAAUAAAAAACUAAACAAGACCAUUAUUCAUCCGCAUUCUCUCUCUCAUAAAUGAUUCUCCUCCUAUUUUUCUUAGUCACAAACCUUGUUCAAUGCGUGAUGCUUGAAAUUUCUGCAAUUUCACAUCUCCUGUUCAAAGUAUCCACAAUGAUUCCACAUUCGUAAAAUUCGGAGUUCAAUUUUAAAUUGCUAAAAGUUCAUCGGCGACAAUAUUGUUAAAUCAUUGUUAUAGAUUCGAAAUCAUCGGUUCACAAUUUCUUCUAGAAAAGGUGCUUUUUUUUUAUUUGAAAAAGUGCAAGUUCAGUAUUUCAAUUUUAAUUAAUGUACUUCUAAGUAGAUUUUGUUUGUUUUGUAUUUUUUGCAAUAUUUUUUACAAGGAAGAUCUGUAAGGAAGAUCUGUGGGAUUCUUCUAAUGUGAUCGAUGAAAAGAGUAUAUAUUCAGUAAUAAGG